CGGGCCGUAGCGCAGUCUGGCUAGCGCGCUUCGUUCGGGACGAAGAGGUCGGUGGUUCAAAUCCACUCGGCCCGACCA
rnacentral:tRNA from 1 species